UAGAGUAGAUGUAUAAGAGUAGCUGCUAACUAACUUUUAAUGCGGUUAAAUUCCGUUAUACUCUUA
rnacentral:tRNA from 1 species